rnacentral:rRNA from 1 species
GUGUCAGCCGCCGCGGUAAUACAGAGGUCCCAAGCGUUGUUCGGAUUCACUGGGCGUAAAGGGUGCGUAGGUGGUCGGGUAAGUUUGAUGUGAAAGCUCUGGGCUCAACCCAGAAAUGGCAUUGAAUACUAUUUGGCUGGAGGAGUGGAGGGGGGACUGGAAUACUUGGUGUAGCAGUGAAAUGCGUAGAUAUCAAGUGGAACACCAGUGGCGAAGGCGAGUCCCUGGACAAUACCUGACACUGAGGCACGAAAUCUAGGGGAGCAAACAGGAUUAGAUACCCCUGUAGUCC